GUGUCAGCCGCCGCGGUAAUACGUAGGUGGCAAGCGUUGUCCGGAUUUAUUGGGCGUAAAGGGUGCGUAGGCGGUUUUUUAAGUCAGAUGUGAAAUCCCACGGCUUAACUGGGGAGCUGCAUUGGAAACUGGGUGUCUAGAGUGCAGAAGAGGAAAGUGGAAUUCCAAGUGUAGCGGUGAAAUGCGUAGAGAUUAGGAGGAACACCAGUGGCGAAGGCGACUUUCUGGUCUGAAACUGACGCUGAGGCGCGAAAGCAUGGGGAGCAAACAGGAUUAGAUACCCUGGUAGUCCAUGCCGUAAACGAUGAGUACUAAGUGUUGGGGGGUUCGCGCCCUUUAGUGCUGCAGCUAACGCAUUAAGCACUCCGCCUGGGGAGUACGACCGCAAGGUUGAAACUCAAAGGAAUUGACGG
rnacentral:rRNA from 1 species